UACGGAGGGUGCAAGCGUUAUCCGGAUUCACUGGGUUUAAAGGGUGCGUAGGCGGAACAGAAAGUCCGUUGUGAAAUCUCCGAGCUUAACUCGGAAAUUGCGGUGGAUACUAUUGUUCUUGAAUACUGUUGAGGUUAGCGGAAUAUGUCAUGUAGCGGUGAAAUGCAUAGAUAUGACAUAGAACACCAAUUGCGUAGGCAGCUUACUACACGAUCAUUGACGCUGAGGCACGAAAGCGUGGGGAGCAAACAGG
rnacentral:rRNA from 1 species